UGCUCCAGAAUAGCUCUUGGAAACGGGUGGUAAUGCUGGAUGCUCCAACUUGACGCAUGUCUUGUUGGGAAGUGUUUAGUGGCAUGGGAUGGGGUCGCGUCCUAUCAGCUUGUAGGCGGGGGUAAUGGCCCACCUAGGCUUCGACGGGUAGCCGGCCUGAGAGGGCGGACGGCCACAUUGGGACUGAGAUACGGCCCAGACUCCUACGGGAGGCAGCAGCU
rnacentral:rRNA from 1 species